UACGAAGGGGGCUAGCGUUGCUCGGAAUUACUGGGCGUAAAGGGCGCGUAGGCCCAAGUCAGGCGUGAAAUUCCUGGGCUCAACCUGGGGACUGCGCUUGAUACUGGGUUGCUUGAGGAUGGAAGAGGCUCGUGGAAUUCCCAGUGUAGAGGUGAAAUUCGUAGAUAUUGGGAAGAACACCGGUGGCGAAGGCGGCGAGCUGGUCCAUUACUGACGCUGAGGCGCGACAGCGUGGGGAGCAAACAGG
rnacentral:rRNA from 1 species